CAUAAAGAGUAGAAAAUGAAGGCACAGCUGAGGCAGGGGUCUCUGCUGUGUGUGAAGUGGGGUGGAGUCAAGUCUGGCCAGAGGCAACACCUCAUUUUGGCGGACAUGUGUGGUCAGGGUCACCAAAGGGUCACUCUGCCACCCACUGAACAUGGUCCCUCCAGACCACCGGGUACAACCAAGCUUAUCAUUUCCUGCCCAACCAGCACCUCCUCCUGAGGCGAUGUCAGUGAACUCACAUGGGCACUUUCUAUUGUUAAUAUAGGAACCACAGCACCCCAGAAUUUGGAGUUAAUGGGCUUUAGGGCCAAAAUCUCAAGGAAUCUCAGGGUUGGAAGAAAAACCAGCCUCCUGACCCUCGAGUGUCUUUCAAGAACCUGUGCAUCCCUGCUUCAGGUUUACGGAGAUGACCACCUAAGUCCUGUCCAGGCUCGUGCUGCUUCAGAAAAUCCACAUUUCCGUCUUUUUUAAGGAGAGAGGGUGUGAAAAUUGGCUACAGAUCUUCUUAAAAGGAGUCUCCUUCCGAGUUUAGCAAGGGCAGCUUUGAAGAAAGGAGGGAAUGAAGAAGGAAUGGCGAAAAAUCAGACCUAGCUUCUCCUAAACCUAAAUGUUUCUAGGAGGAACCUUUUGGAAACAACCCCCAAGGAGAGCGUGGUUUGCCUGGACUGGGAGAGAGCCUGGAAGAUCCUUAUCUGAGGAAGGUACCAGUUUUUUUAAAUGUAUGUGGCCUCCAGAUUCAACUUAUUUAAUGUUAUAUAUUAUGUCGUCUUCUUCAAGAAUUAUUUUUAACAUCAUACUGUUUCAUCAACAUGGAAACAAGGUAACCCAUUUUGUUCCUGGCUGGGUCCAUACAGAAUUAUUUAUUCUUGAAACUUUAAAAGGCUAUUUGAUAUGUUUAGGUGUGGGUC